rnacentral:tRNA from 1 species
AGAAGCGUGCCCGAAUUAAAGGACUACCUUGAUAGCGUAGACAUGGACCUCCCUCAA